UAGCCGUAAACGAUACUCGCUAGGUGUCGGCCACGGUGCGACCGUUGUCGGUGCCGUAGGGAAGCCGUGAAGCGAGCCACCUGGGAAGUACGGCCGCAAGGCUGAAACUUAAAGGAAUUGGCGGGGGAGCACAACAACGGGUGGAGCUUGCGGUUUAAUUGGAUUCAACGCCGGAAAUCUUACCGGGACCGACAGCAACAUGAAGGCCAAGCUGAAGACCUUGCCGGAUUAGCUGAGAGGAGGUGCAUGGCGUAGUCGUGU
rnacentral:rRNA from 1 species